UACGUAGGGUGCAAGCGUUGUCCGGAAUUAUUGGGCGUAAAGGGUGCGUAGGCGGUUUGACAAGUCUGAUGUGAAAUCUAUGGGCUCAACCCAUAGUCUGCAUUCGAUACUGCCGUGCUUGAGGACUGGAGAGGAGACUGGAAUUUACGGUGUAGCGGUGAAAUGCGUAGAUAUCGUAAGGAAGACCAGUGGCGAAGGCGGGUCUCUGGACAGUUCCUGACGCUGAGGCACGAAGGUCAGGGGAGCAAACGGG
rnacentral:rRNA from 1 species